UACGUAGGGGGCAAGCGUUGUCCGGAAUUACUGGGCGUAAAGCGCCUGUAGGCGGGAACGUGCGUCGGACGUGAAAGGCGGGGGCUUAACCCCCGAGCGGCGUUCGAAACGGCGUUUCUUGAGGGUCGAAGAGGAGCGUGGAAUUCCUGGUGUAGCGGUGAAAUGCGUAGAGAUCAGGAGGAACACCCAUGGCGAAGGCAGCGCUCUGGUCGGCAUCUGACGCUGAGAGGCGAAAGCGUGGGGAGCAAACAGG
rnacentral:rRNA from 1 species